UACGGAGGAGGCUAGCGUUGUUCGGAAUUACUGGGCGUAAAGGGCGUGCAGGCGGUUUGUUAAGUGCAGGGUGAAAGCUCCCGGCUCAACUGGGAGAGGUCCUUGCAUACUGGCGAACUCGAGGGAGGCAGAGGAAAGUGGAAUUCCCGGUGUAGUGGUGAUAUGCGUAGAUAUCGGGAGGAACACCUGUGGCGAAGGCGGCUUUCUGGGCCUUACCUGACGCUGAGGUGCGAAAGCGUGGGGAGCAAACAGG
rnacentral:rRNA from 1 species